AAACCAUGGUGGGGACAAGCAUUUAACAAGCCUUUAAACUUUUCCCAAGCUUGGUGAAAUGACUCAUUUAGACUACAACAAAAAAUUAUCAUUUGACGUU
rnacentral:sRNA from 1 species